rnacentral:rRNA from 1 species
UACGUAGGGGGCGAGCGUUGUCCGAAGUUACUGGGCGUAAAGCGCGCGUAGGCGGUUUCUUAAGUCUGGGGUGAAAGGUUCAGCGCUCAACGCGAACAGUGCCUUGGAUACUGGGUAACUUGAGUCUGGGAGGGGGCAGUGGAAUUCCUGGUGUAGCGGUGAAAUGCGUAGAUAUCAGGAGGAACACCGGUGGCGAAGGCGGCUGCCUGGCCUAAGACUGACGCUGAGGUGCGAAAGCGUGGGGAGCGAACGGG